rnacentral:rRNA from 1 species
CACGUAGGGUCCGAGCGUUGUCCGGAAUUACUGGGCGUAAAGCGUGCGUAGGCGGUUCGUUAAGUCAGCUGUGAAAGCCCCGGGCUCAACCUGGGAACUGCGGUUGAAACUGGCGAACUAGAAUCUGGCAGAGGGGGGUGGAAUUCCACGUGUAGCAGUGAAAUGCGUAGAGAUGUGGAGGAACACCGAUGGCGAAGGCAGCCCCCUGGGCUGAGAUUGACGCUCAGGCACGAAAGCGUGGGGAGCAAACAGG